AGCAACUGUAGUCAAACAAAAGAAAAAGGAAGAACAAGACAAAGCUAAAGGGUUAGCGAUGCGGAAGGCCGCUAACGAAACGUAUACUAAAAAUUUGUGCAGUGCUACUAACAGUCAAGGUCAAGAGGAGGAUGAAGAGCUGUUUUCUGCAGGAUGCUCAAAGAAAACUAAAAGAGGCCGCACUGGUUCCUCCCAAA